UACGUAGGGUGCGAGCGUUGUCCGGAAUUAUUGGGCGUAAAGAGCUCGUAGGCGGCUUGUCGCGUCGUUCGUGAAAACCCACAGCUCAAACUGUGGGCUUGCGGUCGAUACGGGCAGGCUAGAGUUCGGUGAGGGGAGACUGGAAUUCCUGGUGUGAGCGGUGAAAUGCGCAGAUAUCAGGAGGAACACCGAUGGCGAAGGCAGCUCGCUGGGACGUGACUGACGCUGAGACGCGAAAGCGUGGGGAGCAAACAGG
rnacentral:rRNA from 1 species